CAUCACCGACGUGUUUAAAGUAUCCGUGUGUGUGCCUCCAAAAACCGUUUGUGGAGACAGCAGAGUGCCCGAGGCAGGAAACCGCUCCGGCCUGGAGGCGCCCCUGCCCGGACUCGUGGACUGCAGCGCUGUCCCGCUCGGAAGCCGAUCCUGGGAGUCCGAGCGGGGCCGCGGGGCCUGCGUGGCAGCCGAGUCGAGGGCUUCGGGCCGCGGGGCUGUGGAGCGCCCCUUGGCGCUGGGCCGCCGGCAGCCGUGAGCGCAUCACUGCAUUUCCCUGGAGGAAUUCCUCAUCUGUUGAAUGAGGGAGUUGAGGCGGACACGCUGGGAAAUGGCUUCGAGCUCACACACUGAUUUUCAUGCGCGGCGGGCGCUGCCUGAACCCCCGAAUCCUCACAAGCCUCUGUGCAGCGGCCACGGCCCUCAGCUAGCGGCGGGGAGACUGAAGCCGCAGGGUCAGGGUUAGUUGCCACAUGUUUUAAAUUCCUAUCCAAACUUCCAUUAUAAUUGUUUUUAUUUAUUUAUUCAUCUAUUUUUUGAGACAGGGUCCCGCUCUGUCGCCCAGGCUGGAGUGCAGUGGAGCGAUCACGGUUCACUGCAGCCUCCCCACCUCCGACUCCAGCGAUCCUCUCGCCUCAGCCUCCCGAGUAGCUGGGACCACAGGUGCAUGCCACCAUGCCCGGCUAAUUGUUAAUAUUUUUUUUGGUAGAGAUGGGGCCUCCCUCUGUUGCCUAGGCUGGCCUUGAACUCCUGGGCUCAAGCGAUCUUCCAGCUUCGGCCUCCCAAAGUGCUGGCAUUACAGGCGUGAGUCACCCCGCCUGGCAAGAAUUGUUGUUUUGAAACUAACUGAGGUUCUCCCAUCAAUGGAUUUAAAUUGUUACUUUUUAAUGAUUUUUUUUUAAGUAGCCAAAUACUAAAUGUAUGUAAUUUGAAUGUGGAGAGAAGAUAAUGCAUGAUUCAAAUUAUGUGGCUGAUCAUGGGUGAUACACUGGGAUAUAGUUGUAAAAUAAGUAGUUCUCCUAGGGAAAAUAUUAAAGUACAACUGUGUUGGGUUUAAUAUCAGAAAAAUGUAAUUAAAAACAUUUCCUGCCAAUAAUUUCCAAUCUGAUACUUAAACAAAACAAAACAAUAAAAGUUUCCCAUCUCUUUCGGGCCUUUUAAAUUUCUACCAAAAGUAAGUGAUGCUGGCUGAUUCCCCUGCUAUAGCAAGUUGUGAAUAAAUAGCCUUUGCUGGUUUCCACAGUUUUCCUGGUGAUCCCAUGGUAAGUCUGUACUGCUUGUCCCUGAGGUCCCCAGGCUUCC
rnacentral:lncRNA from 10 species